rnacentral:rRNA from 1 species
ACUCUAAGCGGUGGAUCACUCGGCUCAUGGGUCGAUGAAGAACGCAGCAAACUGUGCGUCAUCGUGUGAACUGCAGGACACAUGAACAUCGACAUUUUGAACGCAUAUCGCAGUCCAUGCUGUUAUGUACUUUAAUUAAUUUUAUAGUGCUGCUUGGACUACAUAUGGUUGAGGGUUGUAAGACUAUGCUAAUUAAGUUGCUUAUAAAUUUUUAUAAGCAUAUGGUAUAUUAUUGGAUAAAUAUAAUAAUUUUUAUUCAUAAUAUUAAAAAAUAAAUGAAAAACAUUAUCUCACAUUUGAAUGUGAAAAACGAAGAGAAAUAUUUUCUUUUUCAAUCAAAUAAUACUGAGAAAUGUCUAGCAUAAAAAAUUGAAAUAUUUUUCAUCUAGAAUUGUCUCUUAUUAAUGAUUCGGAAAUAGAAAAAUCUUGGUUAUGUUAUUAUUCUUCGUUGGUUCGUUAAAAAUGGAUAAAUAAAAACUUUGCAUACAAGAAUUAAUAAAAAUGUUAUAACGAAUUUAAUUAAAUGUUUUAUCAUUAUAUAUAAAGAAUUUAUGGCAAGAUAAAGUUAUAUACAACCUCAACUCAUAUGGGACUACCCCCUGAAUUUAAGCAUAUUAAUUAGGGGAGGAAAAGAAACUAACAAGGAUUUUCUUAGUAGCGGCGAGCGAAAAGAAAACAGUUCAGCACUAAGUCACUUUGUCUAUAUGGCAAAUGUGAGAUGCAGUGUAUGGAGCGUCAAUAUUCUAGUAUGAGAAAUUAACGAUUUAAGUCCUUCUUAAAUGAGGCCAUUUACCCAUAGAGGGUGCCAGGCCCGUAUAACGUUAAUGAUUACUAGAUGAUGUUUCCAAAGAGUCGUGUUGCUUGAUAGUGCAGCACUAAGUGGGUGGUAAACUCCAUCUAAAACUAAAUAUAACCAUGAGACCGAUAGUAAACAAGUACCGUGAGGGAAAGUUGAAAAGAACUCUGAAUAGAGAGUUAAACAGUACGUGAAACUGCUUAGAGGUUAAGCCCGAUGAACCUGAAUAUCCGUUAUGGAAAAUUCAUCAUUAAAAUUGUAAUAUUUAAAUAAUAUUAUGAGAAUAGUGUGCAUUUUUUCCAUAUAAGGACAUUGUAAUCUAUUAGCAUAUACCAAAUUUAUCAUAAAAUAUAACUUAUAGUUUAUUCCAAUUAAAUUGCUUGCAUUUUAACACAGAAUAAAUGUUAUUAAUUUGAUAAAGUGCUGAUAGAUUUAUAUGAUUACAGUGCGUUAAUUUUUCGGAAUUAUAUAAUGGCAUAAUUAUCAUUGAUUUUUGUGUUUAUUAUAUGCACUUGUAUGAUUAACAAUGCGAAAGAUUCAGGAUACCUUCGGGACCCGUCUUGAAACACGGACCAAGGAGUCUAACAUAUGUGCAAGUUAUUGGGAUAUAAACCUAAUAGCGUAAUUAACUUGACUAAUAAUGGGAUUAGUUUUUUAGCUAUUUAUAGCUAAUUAACACAAUCCCGGGGCGUUCUAUAUAGUUAUGUAUAAUGUAUAUUUAUAUUAUUUAUGCCUCUAACUGGAACGUACCUUGAGCAUAUAUGCUGUGACCCGAAAGAUGGUGAACUAUACUUGAUCAGGUUGAAGUCAGGGGAAACCCUGAUGGAAGACCGAAACAGUUCUGACGUGCAAAUCGAUUGUCAGAAUUGAGUAUAGGGGCGAAAGACCAAUCGAACCAUCUAGUAGCUGGUUCCUUCCGAAGUUUCCCUCAGGAUAGCUGGUGCAUUUUAAUAUUAUAUAAAAUAAUCUUAUCUGGUAAAGCGAAUGAUUAGAGGCCUUAGGGUCGAAACGAUCUUAACCUAUUCUCAAACUUUAAAUGGGUAAGAACCUUAACUUUCUUGAUAUGAAGUUCAAGGUUAUGAUAUAAUGUGCCCAGUGGGCCACUUUUGGUAAGCAGAACUGGCGCUGUGGGAUGAACCAAACGUAAUGUUACGGUGCCCAAAUUAACAACUCAUGCAGAUACCAUGAAAGGCGUUGGUUGCUUAAAACAGCAGGACGGUGAUCAUGGAAGUCGAAAUCCGCUAAGGAGUGUGUAACAACUCACCUGCCGAAGCAACUAGCCCUUAAAAUGGAUGGCGCUUAAGUUGUAUACCUAUACAUUACCGCUAAAGUAGAUGAUUUAUAUUACUUGUGAUAUAAAUUUUGAAACUUUAGUGAGUAGGAAGGUACAAUGGUAUGCGUAGAAGUGUUUGGCGUAAGCCUGCAUGGAGCUGCCAUUGGUACAGAUCUUGGUGGUAGUAGCAAAUAAUCGAAUGAGACCUUGGAGGACUGAAGUGGAGAAGGGUUUCGUGUGAACAGUGGUUGAUCACGAGUUAGUCGGUCCUAAGUUCAAGGCGAAAGCCGAAAAUUUUCAAGUAAAACAAAAAUGCCUAACUAUAUAAACAAAGCGAAUUAUAAUACACUUGAAUAAUUUUGAACGAAAGGGAAUACGGUUCCAAUUCCGUAACCUGUUGAGUAUCCGUUUGUUAUUAAAUAUGGGCCUCGUGCUCAUCCUGGCAACAGGAACGACCAUAAAGAAGCCGUCGAGAGAUAUCGGAAGAGUUUUCUUUUCUGUUUUAUAGCCGUACUACCAUGGAAGUCUUUCGCAGAGAGAUAUGGUAGAUGGGCUAGAAGAGCAUGACAUAUACUGUUGUGUCGAUAUUUUCUCCUCGGACCUUGAAAAUUUAUGGUGGGGACACGCAAACUUCUCAACAGGCCGUACCAAUAUCCGCAGCUGGUCUCCAAGGUGAAGAGUCUCUAGUCGAUAGAAUAAUGUAGGUAAGGGAAGUCGGCAAAUUAGAUCCGUAACUUCGGGAUAAGGAUUGGCUCUGAAGAUUGAGAUAGUCGGGCUUGAUUGGGAAACAAUAACAUGGUUUAUGUGCUCGUUCUGGGUAAAUAGAGUUUCUAGCAUUUAUGUUAGUUACUUGUUCCCCGGAUAGUUUAGUUACGUAGCCAAUUGUGGAACUUUCUUGCUAAAAUUUUUAAGAAUACUAUUUGGGUUAAACCAAUUAGUUCUUAUUAAUUAUAACGAUUAUCAAUUAACAAUCAAUUCAGAACUGGCACGGACUUGGGGAAUCCGACUGUCUAAUUAAAACAAAGCAUUGUGAUGGCCCUAGCGGGUGUUGACACAAUGUGAUUUCUGCCCAGUGCUCUGAAUGUCAAAGUGAAGAAAUUCAAGUAAGCGCGGGUCAACGGCGGGAGUAACUAUGACUCUCUUAAGGUAGCCAAAUGCCUCGUCAUCUAAUUAGUGACGCGCAUGAAUGGAUUAACGAGAUUCCUACUGUCCU